UACGGAGGGUGCAAACGUUGCUCGGAAUCAUUGGGCGUAAAGCGCACGUAGGCGGUCGGCUAUGUCGGAUGUGAAAUCCCCAGGCUUAACCUGGGAACUGCAUCCGAUACUGGAUGGCUUGAAUCCGGGAGAGGGAUGCGGAAUUCCAGGUGUAGCGGUGAAAUGCGUAGAUAUCUGGAGGAACACCGGUGGCGAAGGCGGCAUCCUGGACCGGCAUGACGCUGAGGAGCGAAAGCCAGGGGAGCAAACGGG
rnacentral:rRNA from 1 species